UAAACGGACAUGCCAAGUUUAGUCUGUGCUU
rnacentral:piRNA from 1 species